rfam:Chromobacterium violaceum ATCC 12472, complete genome.
GGAGUUGGCCAGGCAAUCGCCGCGUCCGCGAGGACGGGGAGGAAAGUCCGGGCUCCGCAGAGCAGGAUGCCGGCUAACGGCCGGGCGCCGCGAGGCGACGGAAAGUGGAACAGAGAGCUGAACCGCCGAUGGCCGGACUUGUCGACCGCGAGGUCGACAAAGUCUUUUCCCGGGGCUUGCCCCGGAAAAACCCGCAAGGGCGGAUCAGGCAAGGGUGAAAAGGUGUACCGGGAGGCGCAAGCCGGCCCGGACGGGCGGGGCAACCCGCUCGCGGUAAGAGCGCACCGCGGACGUGGCGACACGGACGGCAGGCUAAACCCCAUCCGGAGCAAGACCAAAUAGGGGGACGCCAACGUGGCUCGCGUUGUCCCCGGGUAGGUUGCUUGAGCCUGUCGGCAACGGCAGGCCUAGAGGAAUGAUUGUCCAACGACAGAACCCGGCUUAUCGGCCGACUCCCACC